AUUGAACGCUGGCGGCAGGCUUAACACAUGCAAGUCGAGCGGGGAAGGGUAGCUUGCUACCUGACCUAGCGGCGGACGGGUGAGUAAUGCUUAGGAAUCUGCCUAUUAGUGGGGGACAACAUUCCGAAAGGAAUGCUAAUACCGCAUACGCCCUACGGGGGAAAGCAGGGGAUCUUCGGACCUUGCGCUAAUAGAUGAGCCUAAGUCAGAUUAGCUAGUUGGUGGGGUAAAGGCCUACCAAGGCGACGAUCUGUAGCGGGUCUGAGAGGAUGAUCCGCCACACUGGGACUGAGACACGGCCCAGACUCCUACGGGAGGUAGCAGUGGGGAAUAUUGGACAAUGGGCGCAAGCCUGAUCCAGCCAUGCCGCGUGUGUGAAGAAGGCCUUUUGGUUGCAAAGCACUUUAAGCGAGGAGGAGGCUACUUGGAUUAAUACUCUAGGAUAGUGGACGUUACUCGCAGAAUAAGCACCGGCUAACUCUGUGCCAGCAGCCGCGGUAAUACAGAGGGUGCGAGCGUUAAUCGGAUUUACUGGGCGUAAAGCGUGCGUAGGCGGCUUUUUAAGUCGGAUGUGAAAUCCCUGAGCUUAACUUAGGAAUUGCAUUCGAUACUGGGAAGCUAGAGUAUGGGAGAGGAUGGUAGAAUUCCAGGUGUAGCGGUGAAAUGCGUAGAGAUCUGGAGGAAUACCGAUGGCGAAGGCAGCCAUCUGGCCUAAUACUGACGCUGAGGUACGAAAGCAUGGGGAGCAAACAGG
rnacentral:rRNA from 1 species